GUCCCUGUUGUGCAAUGGAUAGUGCGUUGGACUUCUAAUCCAAAGAUUGGGGGUUUGAAUCCCUCCUGGGAUG